rnacentral:sRNA from 1 species
AAUUAAUACAAACGCCGACGCCCCCUC